UUGUUGAUAUGUGGAUCUUGCAGGUGAGAGGAGGGGGAUGGCGAAGAGAGGAGGCCUCGAAAGAAAGGGUAACUCCUGCCCAUGAGAGGAGGGGGCGAUCGGUGUUGCCCUUGUAGAAAGGCUGUGGCACGAGAAGGGAAUAGAUGAGGGCUCGAGAGUCAAAGACAUCCAGAUGUGGUGGGAGAGAUGAGGGUUUGGCGAUGCUGUAGGUGCAAGGAGGCCGUCGGCAUGAAAAUACUUGGGGUGCGCGGUGAAGGGAAAUGGAAACGAGGGGAUCAAAGUCACACACAAAAAAAAAAAAAUAGUAAUAAUAAAUUUUAAGGGUUUACCUGCGGUUGGUAACCUGUUAGGAUGGAAAUUCUUGAACCUCAAAUAAUCAAUCGUCGGGAUGCCCCCUAAUCUUCAUUAAAAUAUAUUUAAGGAGUACCGUAGCACAACCCUAAAAAAAAAAAAACUGUCUCCGAUCUGCAGCUCCACCCUCGCCGCAUCUGCGCUCGAACGCCUCUUCGGGCUCCGCAGCUCCGCCCUUGCUGAACUUCAGCCGCGACUCCGCUCUUAGCCCCAUUCUUUACGGCGGAUCUGUGAGAACUUGUUCAAGAGAAGCUCGCAGCUGGGAUCUGGAAGCGGCUCUUCCCGGUGCGCGGCGACUGGCGGGUGGCCUAGGGCGAGGACGCGGGGUCGCGGCCGACAGCGGGAACCUUCCUCGCCGACCUCUCUAGCCACAUCGACGCCGCUCUCUCCACCAUCUGCCGGCUCGCUCCGGAAACCGAAAGGGAACUGAAACGAGAGAGAGAAAGAGAGAGAUGAGGGAAGAAGAGGAGCUGCUGCGGUGCCAAAUUCAGGAAUGGUACCCCAUCUUCAAACCUUAUUCCAUCCGCACCCUCUUCCACCCCCUCCCCGACUCCUUCCUCCGUUACCUCCUCUGCCUCCCGCUCAACCCUUCCUCCCCUGACGGCGACGACGAUGCCCCGCCCCCUUUUCUCCUUCCCGUCUGCGCCUCCGGCCGCGACCCUCUCCCCCGCCCCACCGCUCACAUCGACCCCGUCUCCCUCCUCGAUUCCGAGAAUUCCUUCUCUUCCUCCGACGACGAGGACGCGGGCGAGUCCUCCACCACCGCCGCUCCGUCAUUCCCGGAGCUGGAGGCGGCGGUGGAGCGGUCGAUCGCGGCCCUCGGUGGGGCCGCCUUCCCCAAGCUGAACUGGAGCGCCCCCAAGGACGCCACCUGGAUCUCCGCCGACGGCACCCUCCGCUGCACCUCCUUCGCGGACGUCGCCCUCCUCCUCCACUCCUCCGACGCCAUCGCCCACGACCUCUCCCACGCCCUACCUUCCUGCCGCGACAACGAGCGAUCCUCCACGACAACCUUCUACCUGGCCCUCCGCAAGUGGUACCCAUCUCUCCGCCCGGAGAUGGAGUUCCGGUGCUUCACCCGCCACCGCCGCCUCGUCGGCAUCUCCCAGCGCGAGGUCACCGGCUUCUAUCCGGUGCUUCUCGAUCGCCGCCACGAGAUCCAGCCCCUCAUCGAGGUCUUCUUCGCCGAGGUCGUCAAGCCGAGAUUCGGAUCGGAGGACUACACGUUCGACGUCUACGUGACCGGAGACGGGCGGGUGAAGCUGCUGGACUUCAAUCCCUGGGGGUCCUUCACGUUGCCGCUUCUCUUCAGCUGGGAGGAGUUAGAGGGCGAGGGUUUUGGUGGGGAGGAAGGCCGGGCGGUGGACUUUAGGAUCGUGGAGAGCCGGUGCGGGGUGAGGCCGGGGCUGAAGACCGCCGUGCCCUUCGAUUACUUGGAUACAGCGGAGGGUAGCGGCUGGGAUCAGUUCUUGAAGAAGGCGGAUGAGGAGCUCAGGAGGCAGACCCAGACCACUUCCGCCCCCGAUGCUGACUGAAUGCCUACUGGUAGAAAAAAAAAAGGUGAAGGACUCCUCAUGCUCUUUGAUCUAAGGUCCGUCAGUCUUCAAAAAAAGUCCUUGUUUUUGCUUGUAAUUGUUGUUUAGCAAUGGGUUUUGAAGGCAAUUAUGGAGUUUCAGUUGUAGUUCCAGUUAAUGAUCCGAGUGUUGGUUCAUGUCAUACUGCUGAAAAGAUUACCGACAAAGUAUAGAAGUAUACAUAUCAUGUGUUUGCUUGUAUUGCUCGGUAACAACCCAUACUUUUGCAUCAUUGUGACGCACUAUGAUGCGGGUUAGCUUGAUGUUGCCAAACUGAAAUUAAAUUCAGCCAAACCAAUCCACACUACAUUAUUUCAUUCCGGUAGUUUGGUUUUGCAUCUUUUCUUCAAGCCUUUUUGCAAGCAAAAAGCAUUAGAUGUUUCAAAUUGGAAGUAGACAGAGCCUUGAUGCAGAGAGUUAAGCAUGUCUUAUGAUGAAUUUUCUUCCUAAAGAACAAGCAAACAUUAUUGGUCUAGUAUGAUAGUGGAUAAUAAUUAAUAAAGAUAGAUCCUUGGAUUUUAUAAACAAAUCAAUCUUUUACAUAAAAUUCUGUAUGAAUUGGAGGGACUCUGCAUGACAUGGUCCCUUUGUAUUAGUCAAAGUCUCUUAGAGCUAGUUUAUGAUGCUUUGCAAUUUUGACUUAAGCAUCAGCUUUGUUUGGGAUUGUUUAGGUGAAGAUAAUGCUAAUCUACACCUUGUGGGCAACCUUUGUUAAUUGAUGUAUCACAUAUAUUCAGGUUUUGUCUAUUAGCAGCACACAUGUUUAGUUGGAGCAAUGAUGCUUGAUAUCUCUUAAACUGCCAAACUUGGUUUAUAUAUGUUCAGGACAUGUGUACCCGUCAGUGUGAAGAUCCUAAUAACCAAUCACACUUCUUCCUUGGCCACAUACCUUAAUUACUGAUAAUAAAAUAAUUGUAAAGUGAGCACAAGAAUAUAGCCUAAAAAAGUGAAAAAUUCGAGGUGACAAUCUUUAUGUUUCGCUUAUUAAAGCAUAGAUUCAGCGUAUUCAAAACAGUUUCUUUAAAAUAUCAACUCUGUUCAUGCACAGUGUGUAAUGGGCUGCAUGGUGUUUAAGAAAUAAAAUGUCGAAAGAUUUUUGCUCAUGCACAUAUUUUAUAGGUUCAUGAAUUUUUAGAAAACAAAAGCUUUGAUGAUUUGGGUUUAUGUAUUUGUGGUAUGUGCUUUGUGGUGGUUGAUUUUAUUUAGGAAGGAACCGCUGGAUAACUCUGCUUAAUGGAAAUGUUUUAUUAUCUAUAAUGCAUUCCAUUAGAGCAAAUAAAAUUUUAGUUAAUUUGGUUUGCUGUCUUGCCAUAUGUGCAGUAAUGGAUUGAAUGCUUUUCCGGAAUAUUAUUUUGGCAAUUUCGUUCUUGUGUAAUUUUGGCUCAUGGGUGAUCUUUGUUCCUGCGCAUCAUUGUUUUUAAUAAGAUUUUAGGAAACAAUGUCUUUGCAGAUGUUUUUUCUUGUACUUGCAGGAUGCUCUGUAAUGUUUGCAUGUUGUUCUUGGAAGCCAAACCCUUGGCGAUUGGGGAUCCCAUACGUGUACUUGAAACUCCCAUGACUAGUAAACAAAAUAUAUGACAGAUACGCUGCUGUCCUCCUUAUCUAUCUUUGAGUUCCAUCUCUAUAUAAGUAUAUGAAGGAGGGAAACGAAUUCUCGCAGAUCCCACUUCUUACCACCUCUCAAUCAACAAGAAUGACAGUACCUCAUGUGGAGGAGAGUGUCUCCCACAUAUCUCCAUCUCAUGACUAGACAAAAGAAUAAAAUUUCAUAUGGUUUCCUUGGAAAAGUGUUCACCAACUGAGACACAAAUAUCCCCUACUUCAAAGGGUCCUCCUUGUCUCCUCCUACCUUCUUUUUUCAAAUUUUAUCUACUCUUCUUCCACCAUUGCUGGGUAAGCUGGGAUCAAGCGAAUUAGUCAAGCUCCAAAACCAAGGUAAUUUGAUCCCCCAAGUACCAUACAAACGCACCCCUUCAGCCAUUGCCUUCCCUUUCUGCCUUUCUAAGAUUAAACCCCGAGUGCCUCAGGAAGCCCAGAGGAAUUGACACCACAGUUGAGAGAGCUCGCUUGCACUUCCAGGUUUCAUGGUAUCUUCUGACUGAAUCAUCGAGACCCGGUAAUCUAGAGAGUCUCUGAGGAUCAAUUCAUCCGUGUGGUUGGCAAUUGGAUCCUUGGAAAUGUUCAGGAGUGGAAGCAAGUAGGAGCUUUGCAAGCAAAAUCUAGAAAAGCUGAUACAAGUCAUUGUCUUGUUAUGAAAAUGGGAUUGUGAAGGCUAGCCUUGUAUGGUUUCUGAGUUACUUAUAUUCCUCAAAAUUCCGAACGUUUGCUCUGUGUUUUUAGAACAUAUGAUGGAAAAAAUGAAUCUUGUGUGCAUGGU